CCGUAGCUCAGCCCGGUAGAGCAGCGGACUUUUAAUCCGUUGGUCGUAGGUUCGAAUCCUACCGGGC
rnacentral:tRNA from 1 species